rnacentral:rRNA from 1 species
GGAGGAUGCAAGGCGUUAAUCCGGAAUGAUUGGGCGUAAAGCGUCCGCAGGUGGCUAUGUAAGUCUGCUGUUAAAAGAGUGACGGCUCAACCUCAUAAGGAGCAGUGGAAACUACAUGGCUAGGAGUGCGUUCGGGGCGAGAGGGAAGUUCCUGGAUGUAGCGGUGAAAUGCGUAGAUAGUCAGGAGGAACACCGAGUGGCGAAGGCAGAUC